GCUCAAGCAGGUUGAGCCGAGAAGAUUUCUAACACUUGGUUGGAAUCUUCAGGUGGCAAAUACACAUGUGUAAAAUGAUUCGGGAAGAGCAAGGAGAGAGUUGUCAACAGGAAAGCAAAGGAAAUGGAAAG